UGGGGAAUUUUGGACAAUGGGCGAAAGCCUGAUCCAGCAAUGCCGCGUGUGUGAAGAAGGCCUUCGGGUUGUAAAGCACUUUUGUCCGGAAAGAAAUGGCUCUGGUUAAUACCUGGGGUCGAUGACGGUACCGGAAGAAUAAGGACCGGCUAACUACGUGCCAGCAGCCGCGGUAAUACGUAGGGUCCAAGCGUUAAUCGGAAUUACUGGGCGUAAAGCGUGCGCAGGCGGUUGUGCAAGACCGAUGUGAAAUCCCCGAGCUUAACUUGGGAAUUGCAUUGGUGACUGCACGGCUAGAGUGUGUCAGAGGGGGGUAGAAUUCCACGUGUAGCAGUGAAAUGCGUAGAGAUGUGGAGGAAUACCGAUGGCGAAGGCAGCCCCCUGGGAUAACACUGACGCUCAUGCACGAAAGCGUGGGGAGCAAACAGGAUUAGAUACCCUGGUAGUCCACGCCCUAAACGAUGUCAACUAGUUGUUGGGGAUUCAUUUCCUUAGUAACGUAGCUAACGCGUGAAGUUGACCGCCUGGGGAGUACGGUCGCAAGAUUAAAAGCUC
rnacentral:rRNA from 1 species